UACAGAGGGGGCAAGCGUUAUUCGGAAUUAUUGGGCGUAAAGGGCGCGUAGGCGGCCUUGCAAGUGACGGGUGAAAUCCCUCGGCUUAACCGAGGAACUGCCUGUCAGACUGCAUGGCUUGAGACCGGGAGAGGUGAGUGGAAUUCCCAGUGUAGCGGUGAAAUGCGUAGAUAUUGGGAGGAACACCAGUGGCGAAGGCGGCUCACUGGACCGUACUGACGCUGAGGCGCGAAAGCGUGGGGAGCAAACAGG
rnacentral:rRNA from 1 species